rnacentral:rRNA from 1 species
CCUACGGGGGGCAGCAGUGGGGAAUAUUGGACAAUAGGCGAAAGCCUGAUCCAGCCAUGCCGCGUGUGUGAAGAAGGCCUUCGGGUUGUAAAGCACUUUCAGUGGGGAAGAAAGCCUUGGGGCUAAUACCCUCGAGGAAGGACAUCACCCACAGAAGAAGCACCGGCUAACUCCGUGCCAGCAGCCGCGGUAAUACGGAGGGUGCGAGCGUUAAUCGGAAUUACUGGGCGUAAAGCGCGCGUAGGCGGUCUGAUAAGCCGGUUGUGAAAGCCCCGGGCUCAACCUGGGAACGGCAUCCGGAACUGUCAGGCUAGAGUGCAGGAGAGGAAGGUAGAAUUCCCGGUGUAGCGGUGAAAUGCGUAGAGAUCGGGAGGAAUACCAGUGGCGAAGGCGGCCUUCUGGACUGACACUGACGCUGAGGUGCGAAAGCGUGGGUAGCAAACAGGAUUAGAUACCCUAGUAGUC